AUGGUCAAGGUUCUUUUGAACAUUAUAACAGAGAGCAGGAGAGUUAACAGACCUGUGACAAAAACAAUUAAAAGUUUAAGAACUGAGUGGUGGAAGUAGGAUAGUCCUUAUCAACAUCUUUCUCCCUGACCUACAGAUAAAUAUAUGUUCCUGUCACCACACACUUAGACCGAAGUAAGUCCUGAAGCAGGAAAUCAGUGAGUUUCACAGCUUUCUGAGCCACUACGCAACCCAGGAAGCCCAGAUGGCCCCUCCUUUCAGUAUCAUCAAUCAGAGCUUAAGGAGGGCAAGAUACUUGAAGUCUAACUCACCAAGAGGAUGAAGUUCUCAUCAUUCCAUCUGACGAACAAGCGAGAACUAGCCAAGUGCUGGCCAAAGGUGAGUCAAAUCUAGAAUGACUGAUAAAGGAAGAAGAUGAUAAAUAUCAGUUUUGCUUCUGGGACCACCUGCAGUAACAAGGACUCCAUCUUGUUUGCUAACAUUUUUUAUGUCUCUGGAGGAGACUGAAAUUGACAACUACUUUGAAGAACUGAACUUGUUCCUUCUUUUCUGAGAAAGAAGCAAGGGUCUCUUUUUCUAAUAACAGCUUUGGGUACCAUAUAAAGGCAUAAGUGCUAUUUAAUUGGUAUGAAGGGUAAACUAAUAAAGAUUCAGUUCACGUACCACCCAGAAUAACUUGGAUCUCAUUCAUUUUCCUGCCUUAGCUGCAGUGACUGACUCUCAUCUCUGAACACGAGGAGCGGUCUCGGAGUAGUCAUGGACCCAGAAAUGGGUCUCAGGCAAGGCCACUGUUGUGCCCUCCUAAGCAUGAGCUGUAGCAACGUCAGCAUCCAGUCCAACUGGGCUAAACUCGGGUCCAGCUGGGAACUUCUGUGCCCCUAGGGGCCCAGAUCUGGUGAAUUAUUUUUCUACAAAGAUUUUUAUUAAUAAGAGACUGGAGAUACUACAUAGAUGCGUCUUUCUCUUCUUCCCUCAAGGAACUGAUCUGCUAUCUGUGGUUCUGAGUAAACUCAUAGACAUAUCACACGACAGAGAAAUCCUAUUUGUUUUCUUUGAAACUAUGCUCAGUUUAAUAAAACCCUACCUUUUA
ensembl:lncRNA LINC02103 long intergenic non-protein coding RNA 2103